rnacentral:rRNA from 1 species
AUACGUACUGUGCGAACGUUAUUCGGAAUCACUGGGCUUAAAGGGUGCGUAGGCGGUCCGGUAAGUAGGGUGUGAAAUUUCUCGGCUCAACCGAGAAACUGCGCUCUAAACUGCCAGACUUGAGUGAGAUAGGGGUGUGUGGAACUUCCAGUGGAGCGGUGAAAUGUGUUGAUAUUGGAAGGAACGCCGGUGGCGAAAGCGGCACACUGGGUCUCAACUGACGCUGAGGCACGAAAGCUAGGGUAGCGAACGGGAUUAGAAACCCCAGUAGUCC